rnacentral:pre_miRNA from 1 species
UCUUCAUUUCAUGCGCUCUCUCACCGGCCACAAAGACGAGAGAGCGUGCAAAAUGAAGAGA